UGAUGGCCUCAGCUGGGCUGAUUCACGCUGGUGGAGGCUCCUACCCACAGCCAUCCCACACACAAACGCCAUCCCACCGUUCCUGAGAGACUGGUCAGGGCAAUUGGGAUGGAGAUAAAUAUGGGGGGGAAAAGCAAAAAGUAAAAAAAAAAAAUUUCCUGUUCCAUUUAAGUAUCUGGGAAAAACAGCUUUUUGUUCAUGGUUCUCAGUGUACCCCAGCAGGAUGAAUGGUGUCCUCCUUGUCCAGCACUGUGAGCAGUUGCAGAGAAGAGCCAUUUGCAUUGCUGAUGUCCAAGUCUGACAUUCAAAGGAGCUGCUGGAGGAAUUUCGGAAGGAGCUGCACAAAAUGAAGGAGGAGAUCAUCCAAGUGCUGCUGACAGAGCUGAGGAAGCCAAACAGGCCCUGAGCCCUCUCCACACCAAGCCACGCCCCCAAUUUUCGGGGGGUGGAGGAUGGGUCAGCCCCCUCCCCCUCAACCCCUUCCCCACCCC